rnacentral:rRNA from 1 species
AGUGAACGCUGGCGGUAGGCCUAACACAUGCAAGUCGAACGGCAGCACAGUAAGAGCUUGCUCUUACGGGUGGCGAGUGGCGGACGGGUGAGGAAUACAUCGGAAUCUACUUUUUCGUGGGGGUUAACGUAGGGCAACUUACGCUCAUACCGCAUACGACCUACGGGUGAAAGCAGGGGAUCUUCGGAACUUGCGCGAUUGAAUGAGCCGAUGUCGGAUUAGCUAGUUGGCGGGGUAAAGGCCAACCAGGGCGACGAUCCGUAGCUGGUCUGAGAGGAUGAGCAGCCACACUGGAACUGAGACACGGUCCAGACUCCUACGGGAGGCAGCAGUGGGGAAUAUUGGACAAUGGGCGCAAGCCUGAUCCAGCCAUACCGCGUGGGUGAAGAAGGCCUUCGGGUUGUAAAGCCCUUUUGUUGGGAAAGAAAAGCAGCAGGUUAAUACCCCGCUGUUCUGACGGUACCCAAAGAAUAAGCACCGGCUAACUUCGUG